rnacentral:misc_RNA from 1 species
GUGAAUCAUCGAAUUUUUGAACGCAAAUUGCACUCUCCUCGUAGAGUAGGCCUAUUUGAGUUUCAGCCUAUAAGAAAUCGACAUCGUUGCUGUUUCUCGGUUGCGGGCGUCGGAAAUUGGGUCAUCUUACAUCCUUUUUAUUUAAGCGACUUAAAAUUUUCUUUUGGUUCCAGGAACGUUUCUAAGAUCUAUUUCUUUACACGUUUGAGGUAUCGUUUUUUGCUAGACGUUACCAUCAUGUCGGGUCGUGCCC